rnacentral:rRNA from 1 species
GCAGUCGCCGCGGUAAUACGAAGGGGGCUAGCGUUGUUCGGAUUUACUGGGCGUAAAGCGCACGUAGGCGGACUUUUAAGUCAGGGGUGAAAUCCCGGGGCUCAACCCCGGAACUGCCUUUGAUACUGGAAGUCUUGAGUAUGGUAGAGGUGAGUGGAAUUCCGAGUGUAGAGGUGAAAUUCGUAGAUAUUCGGAGGAACACCAGUGGCGAAGGCGGCUCACUGGACCAUUACUGACGCUGAGGUGCGAAAGCGUGGGGAGCAAACAGGAUUAGAUACCCCAGUAGUCCCUGUCUCUUAUAC